UCCCGAGCCUCGCAACCGCGCGCCGAAUGCAGUGUACUUUUGCAAAAGUUGUUUCAUUAUUAAAUGGGCUCCUGGUAGGAAAAUCGGAACUGUAGACACAGAUCUCCCACGGCCACUCCCCGCAGAGACGGGCGCUGCUGCGUGGGGCCCCGGUUCGACCUCUGUCGCCUACAAGGGGGUCUGUGUAUCGCUUGCACCCUCUGAGAGCCCAGGCGCCGUCCGCUGCCCCCCUCUGGAGCCCCUUUCAGUUCACUGUGCAGGGCAGCGGGAGAAUCAACCACCGCUCCGGGAUGACGUAGAAGCAGACGCCUGGGAAACUACCCGGCCAACAUCACGCCUGCCCGACGCCCACUCAGCACUGGCCGCGAGGGGCCCACAGUCUGCCGGCGAGGAUGUUCUCCUUCUCUGGCUGGGAGUCUCCAGCCUCUUCAGGAAAGAAGCCGGAGAGCCGCUGUCACUCAGUGGGCACGAAGAGACCUCAGCCAGCUUCCUGAGGCCUGAUGACAGCCAAGCUGCAACUCUUCCGGCAGCACCAUGAUGCUCCAUGCCAGGCACCUGGCCUCAUCUCAUCCUCCCUGCAGCACUAAGAGGCCAGUCACAAGCUCUCUGCUCCCACCAGAUUCAAGAGGAGGGAAUUAGACUCCAGCUUGAUGGGGGAGUGGCAAGUUUUAGAGGAGCAUAUGGAGGAGGAAACGCAUUGUGGUCACUUUAGGAUAAUAUAAUCUACCACCCAUCAUCUCACCCAAUUCUUACGACAACCCGGUGAGGUACUGUGAACACCGAUAAUUUCUGAAACACAAAUCGUGAUCUGGAUACUUGCAACAACCUUUUAUAAUCUCUGCCUGAAUAAGAAGUGAAUAAGAGACAUACUUAUAAAAUCAAGAAACAGAACAUUCAGGCUCCCCAAAUGUCUCGUGUCCUCAUCCAGGAGCUACCGAUCCCCCCACUAUCCUGACUUCUAAUAGCAGGGUCUAGGUCCCUCCAGUGGGUUUGGAGAGAGAAGCUUACGGAUUGUGGAAGGCCGCCUCCAAGAUGGCUGCCUCCUGAGACCCUGCUCUUGUGAACCCUGUCCUGCUCUGGACUCACUGAUUCUCUUCUAACAAUAGAAUAUUGCAGACAAGAUGGGAUGUGACUUCUGAGAUCAAAUUAUAAAAGACGGCAGCUUCUGUCUUGCUGUCUUGAGUCUCUCUUCUCUCUCUCUUCCCAAUCUUGAAUCACAAGCUUCCAUGCUGUGGGGACCCUCAGGUGGAGAGGCCCUGCCAUCGGCUGAAUGCUAUUCCUUCAAAAUUUAUGUGUUGACGUCCUAACCCUCAAGACCUCAGAACAUGACUGUAUUUGGAGAUGGAGUCUUUAAAGAGGUAAUUAGGUUAAAAUGAAGCUUUUAGGGUGGGCCCUGAUCCAAUAUGACUGAUCCAGUAUCCUUAUAAGAAGAGAUUAGGAUACAGACCUAAAAACACAGAGGGAGGACUGUGUGAGGGCACAGGGAGAAGAUGGCCGACUACAAGUCAAGGAGAGAGGCCUGAGGAGAAACAACCCUGCGGGCACCUCAAUCCCAGACUUCCUGCUUCCAGAACCGUUGUAUAAGCUGCCAGUCUGUGGUACUUGUUAUAGCAGCCCGUACUGACUAAUACAGGCCCACAACUGCACCGCAAGCCUGCAGGCACAUCUUCUGAAGCCUGCUGACAGCCGCACAAGUCGGCUUGGAAACGGAUUUCCCAGCCUGGGUCAAGCCUUGAGAUCUAACUGUAGGCCUGGCUGACAGCUUUACUGCUGCCUCACCAGGGACCCUGACCCAGAAGCGUCCAGUUGAAGCACAUCUAGAUUCUUGAGCCACAUGGUAUCCUCUCUCUACUGUGAGACAAUAACCCUUGGCUGUUUCAUGCGGUUAAGCUUUGGGGUAAUGUGUUACACAGCAACAGAGAACUACUAUGCCUCCUUAUCCUUCUUGGCUAGAGUGACCAUAUAUUUUAUUGAUGACACCAAGUCAAGGCUUUUGAGGGGGAAAGGAGAUUCUAAAAUAAUUAAAGGGACUUCCCUGGUGGCACAAUGGUUAAGAAUCUGCCUGCCAAUGCAGGGGACACGGGUUCAAUCCCUGGUCGGGGAAG